GAUGAACGCUGGCGGCGUGCUUAACACAUGCAAGUCGAACGAUGAAGCCCAGCUUGCUGGGUGGAUUAGUGGCGAACGGGUGAGUAACACGUGAGUAACCUGCCCUUCACUCUGGGUUAAGCCUGGGCAACUGGGUCUAAUACCGGAUAGGAGCGCCUACCGCAUGGUGGGUGUUGGAAAGAUUUAUCGGUUUUGGAUGGCCUCUCGGCCUAUCCGCUUGUUGUUGAGGUAAUGGUUCACCAAGGCGACGACGGGUAGCCGGCCUGUGAGGGUGACCGGCGACAAUAGGACUGAGACACGGAGCAGACGCCUACGGGAGGCAGCAGGGGGGAAUAUUGCACAAUGGGCGAAAGCCUGAUGCAGCGACGCCGCGUUAGGGAUGACGGCCUUCGGGUUGUAAACCUCUUUCAGUAGGGAAGAAGCGAAAGUGACGGUACCUGCAGAAGAAGCACCGGCUAACUACGUG
rnacentral:rRNA from 1 species